AUUGAACGCUGGCGGCAGGCCUAACACAUGCAAGUCGAGCGAGCGGCGGACGGGUGAGUAAUGUAUGGGGACUGCCCGAUAGAGGGGGAUAACUACUGGAAACGGUAGCUAAUCCCGCAUCCUAUCGGAUAACCCAUAUGGGAUUAGCUAGUAGGUUAGGUAAUGGCCAACAUAGGCGACGAUCCCUAGCUGGUCUGAGAGGAUGAUCAGCCACACUGGGACGGAGACAGGGCCCAGACUAUUACGGAGGCAGCAGUGGGGAAUAUUGCACAAUGGGAGGAAGCCUGAUGCAGCCAUGCCGCGGGUAUGAAGAAGGCCUUAGGGUUGUAAAGUACUUUAAGUCGGGAGGCGUUACCGACAGAAGAAGCACCGGCUAACUCCGUGCCAGCAGCCGCGGUAAUUC
rnacentral:rRNA from 1 species